AGUCGAGCGAACGGACGAGAAGCUUGCUUCUCUGAUGUUAGCGGCGGACGGGUGAGUAACACGUGGAUAACCUACCUAUAAGACUGGGAUAACUUCGGGAAACCGGAGCUAAUACCGGAUAAUAUUUUGAACCGCAUGGUUCAAAAGUGAAAGACGGUCUUGCUGUCACUUAUAGAUGGAUCCGCGCUGCAUUAGCUAGUUGGUAAGGUAACGGCUUACCAAGGCAACGAUGCAUAGCCGACCUGAGAGGGUGAUCGGCCACACUGGAACUGAGACACGGUCCAGACUCCUACGGGAGGCAGCAGUAGGGAAUCUUCCGCAAUGGGCGAAAGCCUGACGGAGCAACGCCGCGUGAGUGAUGAAGGUCUUCGGAUCGUAAAACUCUGUUAUUAGGGAAGAACAUAUGUGUAAGUAACUGUGCACAUCUUGACGGUACCUAAUCAGAAAGCCACGGCUAACUACGUGCCAGCAGCCGCGGUAAUACGUAGGUGGCAAGCGUUAUCCGGAAUUAUUGGGCGUAAAGCGCGCGUAGGCGGUUUUUUAAGUCUGAUGUGAAAGCCCACGGCUCAACCGUGGAGGGUCAUUGGAAACUGGAAAACUUGAGUGCAGAAGAGGAAAGUGGAAUUCCAUGUGUAGCGGUGAAAUGCGCAGAGAUAUGGAGGAACACCAGUGGCGAAGGCGACUUUCUGGUCUGUAACUGACGCUGAUGUGCGAAAG
rnacentral:rRNA from 1 species